AAGAUGCAAUGAACACUGUGAAAGAUCAAGAGUUUACAAGAUACCUGUUAAAUAUAACACCACACACCAAGAAGUGACAUCAAUUGUCUAUCAAUUGAAAGUCAACCAGAUUAUUUAAAUUAUUCUUUGAAAUAUACAGAAGCAAUUUCUGUGGAAAAAUUUAAAAACCACUACUAUAGGUAAUGUGGUGAAAAGCAAUGAAAAAGCAUUAAUUUACCAGCAUUAAUUAAAAAAUUAAUUAUGUGAUCUGGAAUCUUAUUGUAAUUAUGUGAUCUGGAAGAGUAUAAUUGUAGCACAUAAAACAAGAAAACUAAAAAUGAACAGUGGCCAAUAAAGUUUGCUGUGCUGCUGAUUUAUAUAAAUAUGAUAUUAUCACAUGAUAAUAAAAUUAUUGAAAUUACAUGGAUGGUAUUCAAUGUGUUGUCUAUUCUAAUGCUUCAAAAACUGCAUUUGCUGUAGAAUGCUUGCAACAGUAUAAUGUAAUUGAUCUCUAAUGAUGUUUUUCACAUACAGUUCUAUCUUGGCAGCCUUGAAAGACAGAACAGCUAUUUCUAUCUUUUAAGACUGCAAAGAUAGAAACAUAUUGCUUAAAAUCAAUCAUAGGUUUUGAGAUAAGAUGAAUGAUAUAGCUAAGCUUUUAGAAAAAUGAGUGAAUAAUCACUCUGUCCUCAAAAAUUCUGAAAAAUUGUUUCAGAACUGCUGUAUUGGCUGAUGUAAAAGAUGUACUGUUUCAAAUCAAGACAUCCUCGAUGCUGCAGUUACAAGGCAACAUAAAUGUUCAGAUCUCUUAAUACUUCUGAGUAACAGAGCAAGUCACAGUUCCAAGAAGAUAAUUUUCUUCAAAAAAAUAGACUAAUCAUAAAAGACAUUGUAAAUCAAGGAUGCUCAACUCUUUGGAAACCACAGAUACUCAUUGAGAAGCUGAGUUUUUCUUCACCUAUUGCUUAAGCAAGAGCUGUUACACUAUUUACAGUAGUUCUAUUAUAUAUGUUUUUUAAAAAUAUUUUCUUGGAUAUUUCUUGUUUGUGGGUCACAAUUGAGAAUUUGGUGAGCUACAAGUGGCCCAUGAGCUAGGUUGAGUAUCCCUUCUAUAAACCUACAUCAUGUAGUGGUUUUCAGCAAGAAUUUGCUGAACUAGAUGGCAGUUGUAUUUACAGUACCAUUCAAAUGAAAAUGAACUUCACUUUCUCAUAAGAUAUUCCACAAUCAUGAAUGGCUGUAGUAUAUCAUAUAGAAAAGUGAACUUCAUUUUUUGUUAUUCAAACAAAAAAUGAAGUUGAAAUCUUAUGGGAUCUUUGAUAUAUCUUACUUAAAGACAUAUCUUUUGAUAUGUCUUUAUGGAGGUAGACAUCCAAUCAUCCACUCCAUUCAAGCAAGAUAUGUUUGAGCAAAUAAUAAUAAUGCAACAAUCCUCAAAGUAGGCAUCAAGUAUGAGAUCAAGAAUUGAUAUUUUUUAAAAUUGUUGCAGCUGUAUUUGUGCCCUCAUUUUGAUUUCACACUCAGUGCAUAUUAUUGCUUAGGCUGACAAGACCCAGAGCUUGGAUGGAAAAUUUGCAAGAGAACAAAUUUCUAAUGGUAGCAUUUUGCCAAAAGUUAAUUAUCUAUGCAAUGUUGAAGUAUUUCUUUUGUUCAUUUUAAACUUGCAUAGAUAAUAGAGAAAGCAAACAGAUCCUAACUUGUCUGAAAAAAAGUAUGUUGUUGUUCUGUUUCACAAAAGAUGACACCAAAAAUAAAAACCAAAAAUGUGCCCUUCCAUCACUACAGAUAAUAAAGCAAUCAUAUUUCAUAUGUUCAUUUGCACACCUGCUAAAUAGAUUGUUUAGUCAAAUGGAUCUUUUUAGCAUUGAAACAUGUAAAAACUAUUUAAAGAUAAAUCUUACUGAUGAAAAAUUAAAUUCUCUUUCUCUUUUGAUAUUGAAAAAAGAAC
rnacentral:lncRNA from 1 species